GAUGAACGCUAGCUAUAGGCUUAACACAUGCAAGUCGAGGGACCGGCGCACGGGUGAGUAACGCGUAUCCAACCUCCCCAUAACUAAGGGAUAACCCAGCGAAAGUUGGACUAAUACCUUAUGGUUAUGGAUGGGGCUGCGUCUGAUUAGCUUGUUGGCGGGGUAACGGCCCACCAAGGCAACGAUCAGUAGGUGUUCUGAGAGGGAGGUCACCCACAGUGGAACUGAGACACGGUCCAAACUGCUACGAGAGGCAGCAGUGAGGAAUAUUGGGCACGGGAUGCAAGUCUGAACCAGCCAAGUAGCGAGCAGGAUGUUGGCCUAUGGGGUGUAAACUGUUUUGAUAUGGGGAGAGGUACCAAAUGAAUAAGGACCGGCUAAUUCCGUGCCAGCAGCCGCGGUAAUUC
rnacentral:rRNA from 1 species